CCCUAGCCCCGAUAGAAGUGGAAAUCCUUAUUGUUUUCUUUCAAAAACAAUAAGAUUGUAACGAAUAGCGGGAAAUAGC
rnacentral:sRNA from 1 species